GGCGCGGCGCGCAUGCGCGGCGGCGGUCAGCCUCCCGGCGCCAUUUUGUGCGCGGCUCCUUCCCAUUUUAGGCGGCCGCGGGGCGGGGGGUAGGUGGCGGCGCCGCGGGGCCGGACCUUCACAUGGCGGUUGUGGGGGCCCCCUCAGCGCCCCGGGGCCGCCUCGCGGUUCGGUUUCGGUGGCUCCUCAGCGGCCGUGGCGCAGCGGGGAGGCUCCGGAGAAGCGGCGGUGGUGCCUCUGCUGGUGGUGCUCGGCGGGGCCGCCCCGCCGGCGGGAGGCGGAACGGGCGGCCGCGGGGCUGUGAGGCGGCUGCAGCAGAAAAAUUCUGUCCACCUGGAUGUAUCUGUUGCAGCUGGCGUGCCUUGGAAGUUCUUGGCACAUCAUCCAUCUAACUACUAAGCUGAAGACUUGUGUAGCAGCUGCUGUUUCAGUGUGGCGGAGAGCUUUGGUUGCCAUCACCUGGAACCAAGUGAUCAGUCUGUCCUCCAAAACCUGAAGUAAGUGCUUGAGAUCAAGUGUGGAUUCUGUUACUGCUCUGGGUGGUAACAUUACUUCACAUGGCUGCUGAAGGAGAAUAUUCUUACGUACGUUUUCACAGGCUAACUGGUAUUUUAAAUGCCAGGAGUAAAGGUGAAAGACUAGAUCUAGCUGUCAUUCAUGUGUCAUCAAACUUUGUUUCAGCCUUCCAUGUAACUUGUUUGCAACAGGCACAACUUGGUACUAGAAAUGUAUCCAGUGCGUAUAUCCACGUGGGCUGUGCAAGUGCAUCAACCAUUCUAGCACAGUAAACCUAAUGAGCACAGAGUUAAAAUAAAAUUAACUGGUUUCCAAAGCA
rnacentral:lncRNA from 1 species